rnacentral:rRNA from 1 species
CCUACGGGAGGCUGCAGUGGGGGAUAUUGCACAAUGGGGGGAACCCUGAUGCAGCGACGCCGCGUGGGUGAAGGAGCGUUUCGGCGCGUAAAGCCCUAUCGGCAGGGAAGAAGGAGGACGGUACCUGACUAAGAAGCCCCUGCUAAGUACGUGCCAGCAGCCGCGGUAAUACGUAGGGGGCGAGCGUUAUCCGGAUUUACUGGGUGUAAAGGGGGCGCAGACGGCAGGGCAAGCCAGGUGUGAAAGCCCGGGGCACAACCCCGGGACUGCUCUUGGAACUGGAGGGCUGGAGUGCAGGAGGAGCAGGCGGAAUUCCUGGUGUAGCGGUGAAAUGCGUAGAGAUCAGGAGGAACACCGGUGGCGAAGGCGGCCUGCUGGAGUGCGACUGACGUUGAGGCCCGAAAGCGUGGGGAGCAAACAGGAUUAGAUACCCGUGUAGUC